rnacentral:rRNA from 1 species
CAGUCGCCGCGGGAAUACAGAGGGUGCGAGCGUUAAUCGGAUUUACUGGGCGUAAAGCGUGCGUAGGCGGCUUCUUAAGUCGGAUGUGAAAUCCCUGAGCUUAACUUAGGAAUUGCAUUCGAUACUGGGAAGCUAGAGUAUGGGAGAGGAUGGUAGAAUUCCAGGUGUAGCGGUGAAAUGCGUAGAGAUCUGGAGGAAUACCGAUGGCGAAGGCAGCCAUCUGGCCUAAUACUGACGCUGAGGUACGAAAGCAUGGGGAGCAAACAGGAUUAGAUACCCGAGUAGUCCCUGUCUCUUAUAC